CUGCUAUUCUUGUUGGCUGCUUCAGCUAGACAGGCCAAGGACUGAAUGGGCCUGAUGAAGUUUGAACUCCUUUCUCUUAGUAAUAUUCUUUUAUGUGAGGAUUGAGAGGUUCAUUGAUAAAACAGGGCGGGGAAGUUUGCAUUUGCUGUAUCUCUACUGUGGAUAAAAAGAGCACUUCGGCACCUCAGCCCACUGAUCUAGCCCUUUUCAUAAGCAUCAAAUCCAUACGAUUUCUUUCAAACCAGAUUGGGCAUCCCAGGAUGACUUACUAGUUCCUAAUAGCAUGCUUCAGCAACUCAUCCCAGUUAAAUACAGAGGAGCUAAUCUACCCAUGACACUAUUAUAAUUUGGAUUGCACAAGACAACAAUGAUGGCAUUUAUCUUCAAACCAGACUAAAUUGAAGUUUGUUUAACACUGCAAGGAUUAGAGCAAAAGCCAAGGUGAAAGAGCUGGGUCGGAGAGAUUUCCUGUUUGUGGAGGAUGUGGCCUUGGUUGUCCACGGAGACUGAACUGUUUCUACACGAGAUGCCAGCACAAGUGUCUGAAAAUGAAGUGAGAAGACAAAAUACCAAGCAUAGAAGUGCUGGAGCACACAGGACUGACACUUAAAAAUCGUUAUCAAGAAGAAGAGGUUGUGAUGGCUCAGUCAUGUCAGGAAAAUGGGAGGAGACUGUAUCCCCCAGAAUAUUUUGUACAGAGAGAUUUGAGAUGGCUCUAGAAAGCCAGGUCACCAUUUAUGGCGGUACCACGACAUGUGCAAAAAUGGUACACAGUUGUUGAACAUCAAUGUACAAAGCUGGGAGGAGUGCACAGAAUCCCAUCCAAUCUGGGGGCAAUAUAUGGCACUGCGUGCAGCUCAACAUGAAGUGACUUUGAUCCAGAGGAUGGAAGCAAAGUGAGAAAGAAGAAAGUAGCGUGCUGUAAUCUUGGACUACAAGUCAGACAACCCAUGAAUGUGUGAAAUUUGUAACAAGAUGUGUCAUUCUUGCAUUGGGCUUGCCAGCCAUAAGCAGAUUCAUCGGGCACCUGAAUAGACCUCUUACACGUACACCAUGAUCCAGCAGAUCGAUGAUUGCCUAUAGAUUUGUAUGUGUAGUAUGGGUUGUUGCCUGUUUAUAAAUGUAGUUAACUGUUUUGCACAGGCAAGGAACAGUUUUUACAUGGAAGUACAGAUGCACUGGGUGUAGCACAUGCAUUUUUGCAAGCAUACCAAUUUCACCUUCCUUUGAAAAUUUAACCAAAAGUCAAUAUGGGAAACCGUCAUCCGUUUAUGCAGAAGUUGUUCAUACAUGUUAUCAAAUUGAAGUCUAUUUUGAGCUAUUUUUAAAAUGUCUUUGUGAAA